rnacentral:rRNA from 1 species
CAGCAGCCGCGGUAAUACAGAGGGUGCAAGCGUUAAUCGGAAUUACUGGGCGUAAAGCGCGCGUAGGUGGUUUGUUAAGUUGGAUGUGAAAUCCCCGGGCUCAACCUGGGAACUGCAUCCAAAACUGGCAGGCUAGAGUAGGGCAGAGGGUGGUGGAAUUUCCUGUGUAGCGGUGAAAUGCGUAGAUAUAGGAAGGAACACCAGUGGCGAAGGCGACCACCUGGGCUCAUACUGACACUGAGGUGCGAAAGCGUGGGGAGCAAACAGGAUUAGAUACCCCCGUAGUCCCUGUCUCUUAUAC